ACUCCCCCGCAGACCUCAACCAGGUCGCUAGCCCCGCACCAGUGUUCUCUGUCCCUUCUCCCUGGUCUUAACGGUAUGGGCCGCGGAAGGCGGCUCUGGGAGCCUGAUUGCAAAGGACCCCUUAUGCUGGCCCGCGGGAUGGGGGGAGAUGUACUAGGCUCCAGCUCUAGACACUGACACCUCUGGGGCUUUGAAAUAAGGAAGGCAGGAAGCUGCUCACUCCCCGGGGAUUAUGGAUUUUUAGGAUUCUGAGUCCCAAGUAAAGGAAGGAAAUCUUUAUUUCAUCCAAGGUUACAGGUAGAGAGAUGGGGUUUCGAUUCUUACCCCCCAAAAGUCACUGGGAGUCAGCAUUUUAAUGAACGCUUUCAACUGUUCUGUAUUCACUUUUACCAUGUACACAUUUGUGGCAUAUACUCCUACAAAAUAAGCCUGUGUGUAUGUAUACUUUAACUAUUGGAUGUUUAGCAACGGCGUAUUUAUCCAGUGUCAACUGUGUAAAACACCUGUUUGCCCAUUUGUGAGCCUACAGUGCACUUACCAAACAUCCGUGUACUUUUAUUGUAUUUAUUGUGUAUAGCCCCUGUGCAUUUGGUACCAACUGUAUGUACAUUUAGUCCUAUCGUGUGCAUGUUCCUUGAGCAGUUUCUGAAUAGGUUCAUUGCAACUACAGUACUUUGAAUGAGUAUCAUCAAACCAGUACUUUGUACAUAUACAUCAGGCAUCUACUGAUUGGAGGAUCAUCUGUGUCAUUCAUCAGCUGUGGACCUACUGCAUAUAGUUUGAACACCUACUGUGCAAAUAUUUGAGUACUUGCGUACAUGCUGAUUAAGUAAUUUUGUUUUCCCCCAUCAGACUAUGAAUUCCUUAAGGGCAGGGACCAUGUGGCCUUAUACAUCCUUAGCACUUGGCAUGUUAAGCAGUAAAUGAAUGUUGAGUAAACAAAAGAAAAAUGAAUAAAUGUCCUUAGUAUAUAUUGACUGAAAAAUAUGAAUACUUUUUGCAAACAUUUCCUGUUUAACAUAUUAAACAUCCACUGUAAGCUCGAGGCAGAUAGGGAGUGUCAUACCUUCGUGCAGUUAACUGUUCCUAAUCAGAUACUGUGCCAAUUAGGUCCAUCCUGCCUACUUCAGGACUGAGCUAAGGACAUCCUGGCUGAGGGAACAGGGCACACAGGUAGGAAGGAGCUCAUGCCCUGGGCUCAAAAGAGUCAUGCCUUGCAGUCCCACCAGCUCUGCCAUUUUCUAGUUUGUAACCUUGAACAAGUCCCAACUUCUGUAACUGAAAUGGGGAUAAUACAUACCUUGCAGAAUUGUUGUGUACUUGGCACAUAGCAGGCCCUCAGUAUCUGGUAGCUGUUAUUUUUAUUUCUGAGAGUCAACAACCAAUAUGCCAAAACUCAUUAAGAAUCUCCUUUGUGUCAGACACUGUGCUAGUGCUUUUGUAUUUUUUUUUUUAUCACCUGAAUCCUUAUAUUACCUUGAAUGUUCAAGAUCUUUAUCCCCACUUGGCUCGUGUGGAGACUUGUCCCAAGUGACACAGAUAUUAAGUGACAUCUUUCUAGUUUUCUAGGUGUCAGGGGAAACCUCAGCCCCUCUCCACCAGAAACACAGGUGGAUGAUCCAACUGAACAGCUGUCUGGACAGGAAGCAGGAAAACUAGGCAAAGUGAUGCUAAUCACAGUAAUAUCACUAGCCUCUCACAUGGAUAAGCAUCUAAUUGCCUACAUGGCUAGUUCAUACCAAUUAUUUCCCUUAAUCUUUGCAACAGUCUUCAGAAAGAUGUAGGUGAAUUUACCCAGUCUGUAGAUGAGGAACCAAGUUCCAGAAAGAUUAAACAACUUGCCCAAUGAUACACAGGAAGUUGCUGACUCUGGUCAAAUGCUCUUCCUGUCGUUUGCCCUCACCAGGAGUGGAGGAGGUGAGGGAAAAGGGAGCUGCUGGGGUGGGAGGUAGAGUGGUGGGGCAGGGCCCAGUCCUUGGCAAUAUGGGGCAUGCAGGGCCUGGAGCUUGGACUGCCCAUCGGGCAGCACCCCCAGGCCACCGUGGCUGUGACCGUGAUGGUGGUAGUGGUGGUGGUGCGUGGAAGAAACAGAUGAAAAGGAGGCAGAGGCCUGGCCAGAGAAGGGUGAGGAGAAUCUAGAAGGUGGGAGAAUACGGUAGAUCUUAGGCCGAAGGAAGUUCAGCCUUUCCAUCUAGAGGCUCAAGGAAGUACAAAGAGCAUGAAUCAGGAAUCAGGAGGCCAGAUUUUGGG
rnacentral:lncRNA from 10 species